rnacentral:rRNA from 1 species
AUUCCAGCUCCAGUAGCGUAUAUUAAAGUUGUUGCAGCUAAAAAGCUCGUAGUUGGAUCUCGGGUCGUCGGUAGGGGUUCAGGUUCAUGCCUGCUUACUCCUGUCGAUACCUAACUGGUGGGACGCUGUGGGUGCCCUUGACUGGGUCGCCUACUGCACCCGCUCAAUUUACUUUGAAAAAAUUAGAGUGUUCAAGGCAGGCUCACACGCCUGUAUAAUGGUGCAUGGAAUAAUGGAAUAGGAUCUCGGUUCUAUUUUGUUGGUUUUCGGAACUAGAGAUAAUGAUUAAGAGGGACAGACGGGGGCAUUCGUAUUGCGGUGUUAGAGGUGAAAUUCUUGGAUCGCCGCAAGACGAACUACUGCGAAAGCAUUUGCCAAGAAUGUUUUCAUCG